UUGUCUAAUGAUGAUUAUUGAAACAUUUACUGAGAUUUUAUCAUGCUGAAAAAUAUUUGGAGACCUGAACUGAAGAAUC
rnacentral:snoRNA from 1 species